rnacentral:rRNA from 1 species
UACGGAGGGUGCGAGCGUUGUCCGGAAUCACUGGGCGUAAAGGGCGCGUAGGUGGCGCAGGAAGUCAACGGUGAAAGUUCGGGGCUCAACCCUGAAUCGGCCGUCGAUACUCCUGGGCUCGAGCACUGUAGAGGCAGAUGGAAUUCCGGGUGUAGCGGUGGAAUGCGUAGAGAUUCGGAAGAACACCCAUGGCGAAGGCAGCACUCUGGGCUUGAACCGCAAGGUGAACCUGACACUGAGGUACGAAAGCCAGGGGAGCGAACGGG